AUUUGCCACAAGCAAAUUUCCCAGAGGAGAAUUUGUAGUGGAGUACCGGGGUGAUAUGAUCAAUGAUGUUGAAGCCCAAAGAAGACGAAAGGUUUUCCACCCAUCGUGUACUGCCUUUUUUUGCUUUCAAGUGGCGAGGGAAAUUUUGGUGGCAAGCACACAUGCUAAACAUGACCCUCGUGUGGAUGGCUCCCAUGCUGAUGUCCCUCCAGGGCCACAGAUGGAUGAUGACUCCACAUCCAAUCAACAGGCAAGCACACAAGCUCAACAUGACCCUCGUGUGGAUGGCUCCCAUGCUGAUGUCCCUCCAGGGCCACAGGUGGAUGAUUACACCCAUGACGUCAUGUCCAUAGAACAGGCAAGCACACAAGCUCAACAUGACCCUCGUGUGGAUGGCUCCCAUGCUGAUGUCCCUCCAGGGCCACAGGUGGAUGAUUACACCCAUGACGUCAUGUCCAUAGAACAGUCAAGCACACAAGCUCAACAUGACCCUCGUGUGGAUGGCUCCCAUGCUGAUGUCCCUCCAGGGCCACAGGUGGAUGAUUACACCCAUGACGUCAUGUCCAUAGAACAGAGUGAGACAAAAUUCCAAAAUGAAGACGAGAUUGCUGUCCCAAGACUUAGACGGACAAAAAGUAUCAUUAUGAUAAACACAGAUUUUGAAGACUUGAGUGAGUUAUACGACUCUACAUCAGAGAGUGGCGAUGAGUAUGUGCCAGAUUCCACGUCUGAAAGUGACGAAAGUGAUGUCAGCAUUUCAACAACUGAAAGGAAACAAAGGUGGCCAGUGGGUGAAUUAUUUUCUGACUCUGAAGUGGUGACUCCAGUAUGUGACUCCACAACAGUAGGUGACUCCACAACAGUAGGUUACUCAACGACACCAGACCUUGAAAACUUGAGAACAAACAUCAGUACAUGUGAUGUCAGUACAGACGAAGAACCCUGCUCAAGUCAAGAUGCAACUGACACCAUACUUGUGCAAGCUUCACAAAAGAGGCAUGGAAAAAGAGUUUACAACAAACGACAGUAUUGCUUAUAUUGCAAAAAAGCAAAUGCAAAAAUGGCCAGACAUCUAGAACGUGCACACCACGAUAAAGUUGAUGUGGCUCAAGCUAUAAGUUUACCAAAGGGUUCCUUGGAGAGAAGAAAACUGCUUGACUAUAUUCGCAACAGAGGCAACUAUGCCCACAACGCUGCUGUGCUGGAGUCAGGGAGAGGAGAGUUGGUUCCAUUUAAACGCCCGAAUAAAGAUGCACAGGGAAGGAUUUCAUGCAUUGUGCAUACUGCCAAGCUCUUUUCACACGAAAAGUCCUGUGGCGACAUAUGCGAAUUUGCAAACUUAAGCCUUCAUCGAUACCUGUCAAACCAGGAAAAAAUCGUGUUCAGUCUAUGUGUACAUUCAUGCAGCCUGUGCCAUCACACAUCGGGAAACAGAUGUGGGGAGUUAUCAGUGCCAUGGUUGCUGAUCCGAUCACUGAUGCUGUGAAAAAAGACAAUGUCAUCAUCCAUGUUGGGCAGCACCUGUUGAACAAGGGUGGGAUGUCAGCCAAGAAUCAACAGUGUGUGCGUGACAAAAUGCGAGAAAUGGGAAGACUGGU
ensembl:lncRNA